rnacentral:snoRNA from 1 species
AUUCCAUGAUGAGGACAGUCUUUGAUGUAAUUCUAAAAUCUUUCCCAUGCUUCAGUGAAUGAUUCAACAUGUUGUUGUUGGAAACUUGAAAUCUUCCCACAUAGAGC